UUCACCCUACGGGACGCAGCAGUGAGGAAUAUCGGUCAAUGGACGGAAGUCUGAACCAGCCAUGCCGCUUGCAGGAAGACGGCUCUAUGAGUUGUAAACUGCUUUUGUACAAGGGUAAACCUGAAUACGUGUAUUCAGCUGAAAGUACUGUACGAAUAAGGAUCGGCUAACUCCGUGCCAGCAGCCGCGGUAAUACGGAGGAUCCAAGCGUUAUCCGGAUUUAUUGGGUUUAAAGGGUGCGUAGGCGGAUUGAUAAGUUAGCGGUGAAAUGUCCGAGCUUAACUCGGGAACUGCCUCUAAUACUG
rnacentral:rRNA from 1 species